UACGUAGGUGACAAGCGUUGUCCGGAUUUACUGGGCGUAAAGAGCGCGCAGGCGGUCGAUCAAGUCGAGUGUGAAAGCCCCCGGCUCAACUGGGGAGGGCAUUCGAUACUGAUCGACUCGAAGGCAGGAGAGGGUAGUGGAAUUCCCGGUGUAGUGGUGAAAUGCGUAGAUAUCGGGAGGAACACCAGUGGCGAAGGCGACUACCUGGCCUGUUCUUGACGCUGAGGCGCGAAAGCUAGGGGAGCAAACGGGG
rnacentral:rRNA from 1 species